GAUGAACGCUGGCGGCGUGCUUAACACAUGCAAGUCGAACGGAAAGGCCAGUGCUUGCCCUGGUGCUCGAGUGGCGAACGGGUGAGUAACACGUGGGUGAUCUGCCCUGCACUUUGGGAUAAGCCUUGGAAACUGGGUCUCAUACCCGAUAGGACCAUGCUUUGGAUGUUGUUGUGGAAAGUUUUUUCGGUGUGGUAUGAGCUUGCGGUCUAUCAGCUUGUUGGUGGGGUAAUGGGCUACCAAGGCGUCGACGGGUAGCCGGCCGGAGAGGGUGUACGGCGACAUUGGGACUGAGAGACGGCCCAGACUCCGACGGGAGGGAGAAGGGGGGAAGAUUGAAGAAUGGGCGCAAGCCGGAUGCAGCGAGGCCGCGGGGGGGAUGACGGCGUUAGGGGUGUAGACUAAAUGCGCAAGUGACGAAGCAUGUUGUGACGGUAGGUAGAGAAGAAGCACCGGCUAACUACGUG
rnacentral:rRNA from 1 species